AUUCAAAAGAAGGUAAGAAAAGUUUAAAAUAGGGAUUUUUUUUUAAAUGUCUUUGAUUCUUUGCAUUUCUUCUGCUAUGAACUUAUCUGUAUCUUUUGCCCAGUUUUCUAUUUGGAUACUUUCCUUUUCUUAUUGAUUUUAGAUGGACAUAAAUACAGGUAAAUAGAAAUAUGUUCAGGUGAAUAUUGCAAGUACACUCUUGUAGGGCUCAGUUUUAAAUCUUUAUGCCUUGGUUGGGACACUAAGGGCCUGGUGAGACCACUUGCUUGGACGUUAGUGAGAAGAGGGAUAGUCCCUUGAAGUCUUAUGCUUUGCACUCAGUAGGAGCUCACCAAAUGCCUAAUGAGUUGAACUGAAUUGAGAUGAUCAAGGGGCUAAGCAAACAAUGGGUCGCUGCAUUAUUGUCAUUUAGACAGUAAGAAGUUAUUUGAACCAGUGACAGGAAUAGCGAAUGCUAAAUGUUGAAGUCCAAAGAGGGAGCAGAAAUAAACCGGGCUGGAAAGAACCACAGGAAUUCCCUGUGGUUGGAAGGCUCAGCCCGAUGUGGACAUGUGCGCUGCCGCUCUAGGUGAGGUGCCUGGAGCAGAAACGCGUGACGCAUACCUAAUCAAGGCCAAUAGGUGGCGCUCUAAAGACGUCCCAUCGCCGUCCAGACUUCCAGGGCCAAGAUGUUGCUUCAGCGCCUGAGCAGUGGAAACUGGCUGACGUAUGGGAGACUCCGAGCUCUAACUUUUUGGCUCUGUGCUUCCUCCAGAGCUGGUUCAGCGCUGGCCCCUAUGUGUUGCUGUUGAUCUGAUCAUCGAGGCUUGGGACAAAGGACACAGGAACAGGGAAGUUUUGCCAUGAGCUAACAUCUGUGUCAAUCUUCCUCUAUUUUGUAUGUGGGUCGCUGCCACAGCACUGCUGCUGAUGAGUGGUAUGCGUCCACACCUGGGAACUGGACCUGGGCUGCCGAAGUGGAGUAUGCUGAACUUAACCACUAGGCCAUGGGGCUGGCCCCUAAUAAUAUCUCUUAGUCUCAUCUCAUGUUAAUUUAUAAAUUUCUACCUUGUCCUUCUUAACAGCUGUUUAGUAUUCCAAUGUAUGGAUAUACCAUAAUUUAUUAAACCAGUCUCCUACUGAUGGGUGUUUAGGUUGUUCCCAAUUUACUGCUAUCAUAAUAAACAGUGUUGCAGUAAACAUCAUUGAACAUACAUCUUUGUAUACGAGUCCUAUUAUUUCCUUAGGAUAAAUCCUUAUGAGUCAAAUUGCUGGGUGGAAAGUUAUACAUGUG
rnacentral:lncRNA from 1 species